rnacentral:snoRNA from 1 species
UUUGCGAUGAUGAGAUGAAACACUGGACGUGUUUUGGGCAGUGGACAAGCUCAUUCAUUCUUACAAAACGACUUCUCCUUCCACUGAGCUCC